rnacentral:rRNA from 1 species
UGGUGUAGCAGUGAAAUGCGUAGAGAUCAGGAGGAACAUCCGUGGCGAAGGCGACUCUGGGCCAACACUGACACUGAGGCACGAAAGCGUGGGGAGCAAACAGGAUUAGAUACCCUGGUAGUCCACGCCCUAAACGAUGCGAACUGGAUGUUGGGUGCAAUUUGGCACGCAGUAUCGAAGCUAACGCGUUAAGUUCGCCGCCUGGGGAGUACGGUCGCAAGACUGAAACUCAAAGGAAUUGACGGGGGCCCGCACAAGCGGUGGAGUAUGUGGUUUAAUUCGAUGCAACGCGAAGAACCUUACCUGGCCUUGACAUGUCGCGAACUUUCCAGAGAUGGAUUGGUGCCUUCGGGA